GACGAACGCUGGCGGCGUGCCUAACACAUGCAAGUCGAGCGAAUGAAGUUCCUUCGGGAAUGGAUUUAGCGGCGGACGGGUGAGUACCAGCUGGGCACCCGCCCCCUGGCGGGGGAUUAGCUUCCUGCAAGGGAGCUGAUACCGGCCAAGGUUUGAACUACCCCUGAAAAAUGAAAUCAAAGAGCAAACCGCUACGAGAUGGGCCCCCGGCGCCUUUGCCUAGUGGUGGGGUAACGGCCCAACAAGGCGACGGUGCGUAGCCGACCUGAGAGGGGGAUCGGCCACAUUGGGACUGAGACACGGCCCAGACUCCUACGGGAGGCAGCAGUGGGGACUAUUGCACAAUGGGGGAAACCCUGAUGCAGCAACGCCGCGUGAGUGAUGACGGCCUUCGGGUUGUAAAGCUCUGUCUUCAGGGACGAUAAUGACGGUACCUGAGGAGGAAGCCACGGCUCACUACGUG
rnacentral:rRNA from 1 species